rnacentral:sRNA from 1 species
AAGAAAGUGACUGCCGCCCCGCACAGGGGCAACGCUAAUAGACCGACGCGAAAACAGGAUUCCACGAAAGCAAAAGCGAAAGCAAAAUUCAAGCACUC